UUUUGUAUAAUGGGUCAGCGACUUUGUCUCUCGAGCAAGCUUAAGCCGAUAGGUGUAGGCGCAGCGAAAGCGAGUCUGAAUAGGGCGACGAGUUCGAGGGAUAAGACCCGAAACCGAGUGAUCUAGCCAUGUGCAGGUUGAAGGUGCGGUAACACGCACUGGAGGACCGAACCCACGUCUGUUGAAAAAGACGGGGAUGACGUGUGGCUAGGGGUGAAAGGCCAAUCAAACUCGGAAAUAGCUCGUACUCCCCGAAAUGCAUUUAGGUGCAGCGUUGUGUUAGUUUUAUAGAGGUAGAGCUACUGAUUGGAUGCGGGGGCUUCACCGCCUACCAAUUCCUGACAAACUCCGAAUGCUAUAAAAUGAUGCACAGCAGUGAGGGCAUGGGUGCUAAGGUCCAUGUCCGAGAGGGAAAGAACCCAGACCAUCAGCUAAGGUCCCCAAAUGUAUGUUAAGUUGAAUAAACGAGGUGGAAUUGCUUAGACAGCUAGGAUGUUGGCUUGGAAGCAGCCAUUCAUUUAAAGAGUGCGUAACAGCUCACUGGUCGAGCGGUCCCGCAUGGAUAAU
rnacentral:rRNA from 1 species